rnacentral:rRNA from 1 species
UACGUAGGGACCGAGCGUUGUCCGGAUUCAUUGGGCGUAAAGAGCUCGUAGGCGGCCACUCAAGUCGAAUGUGAAACCUCGAGGCUUAACCUCGAGCCUGCAUUUGAUACUGGGCGGCUAGAGUCUGGUAGGGGGAUCUGGAAUUCCUGGUGUAGCGGUGGAAUGCGCAGAUAUCAGGAGGAACACCGGUGGCGAAGGCGGGAUCCUGGGCCAGUACUGACGCUGAGGAGCGAAAGCCAGGGGAGCGAACGGG